AAAACAGGAAAACCACUAUGCUAGAAAAAGCAAAUGCUGUUGAGAUUGUCUCACAAACACAAAUUGCGUGCCAGCAGGUAGGUUUGAGCCUCAGGUUGGGCACAUUUUACUUUAAGUGCACUGUUGGUGGAACUUAAGGUGACUGUAGGACUUAUAUAUACAUACAUACAUAUAAUAUAUAUACAUAUUUAUGUGUAUAUACACACACAC
rnacentral:lncRNA from 10 species